GCCGGAGUGGCGGAACUGGCAGACGCACGCGACUCAAAAUCGCGCGGGCUAACCCCCGUGUGGGUUCGACUCCCACCUCCGGCA
rnacentral:tRNA from 1 species